rnacentral:rRNA from 1 species
UACGGAGGGGGCUAGCGUUGUUCGGAAUUACUGGGCGUAAAGCGCGCGUAGGCGGACCUGCAAGUCGGGGGUGAAAGCCCGAGGCUCAACCUCGGAACUGCCUUCGAUACUGCGGGUCUCGAGUCCGGGAGAGGUGAGUGGAAUUCCUAGUGUAGAGGUGAAAUUCGUAGAUAUUAGGAAGAACACCAGUGGCGAAGGCGGCUCACUGGCCCGGUACUGACGCUGAGACGCGAAAGCGUGGGGGGCGAACAGG